rnacentral:rRNA from 1 species
UGGGGAAUAUUGGACAAUGGGCGCAAGCCUGAUCCAGCCAUGCCGCGUGAGUGAUGAAGGCCCUAGGGUUGUAAAGCUCUUUCACCGGUGAAGAUAAUGACGGUAACCGGAGAAGAAGCCCCGGCUAACUUCGUGCCAGCAGCCGCGGUAAUACGAAGGGGGCUAGCGUUGUUCGGAUUUACUGGGCGUAAAGCGCACGUAGGCGGACUUUUAAGUCAGGGGUGAAAUCCCGGGGCUCAACCCCGGAACUGCCUUUGAUACUGGAAGUCUUGAGGAUGGGAAGGGGGAGUGGAAUUCCGGGUGGUGGGGUGAAAUUCGGUGGAAAUCGGGGGAAAACCAGGUGGGAAGGCGGGCUACUGGACCAAUACUGACCGUGGGGGGCGAAAGCGGGGGGGGGAAACAGG